AAAAUUAUUUUUUAUUAAAAUUUAGUAUUGCAUACUAUAAAUAGAAAAUUUUAUAAUUAUAAAGAAUUGAAAUAAAAAGAAGGUUUACUGCUUAAAAGAUUUUUUACAAAUGUCUUCAAAGUGUAAAAAGAGCUGAAAUAUCGAUUUUUAUUAUAUCAGUUUAUAUUGAUUUAUUAGAAAAUUAUAAAUUUAUUUAUUAAAUUAAAAAUUUUAGGGUCUGAAGUUCCCUUAAGUUUUAUAACUUUUUAUUUUUAUUUUUUUUAUAUUUUAUUUUUAAAUUUUUUUAAAAAUAAAUUAUUAUUUAAUUAAUAUUUUAUUUUUUAUUUUUAUAUUUUUUAAAAUUAAAUUUUAUUAGAGAACUUGGCAUUAUUUUAAAUGUUUAUUAAAGACUUAUGUUUUAAAUUAAAAUUUUUCCCUGCUCUAUGUUUUAUAUAAAUGGCAGUCUUAGCGUGAGGACAUUAAGGUAGCAAAAUAAUUAGUGCCUUUAUUGGGUUCCAGUAUGAAUGGGAGUUUAAAUUAUGUUUUUCUUUUAUUUUUUAGAAUUUAUUUUUAAAUUAAUAAUUAUUUAAUUUAUAUAUACAAAGAUAAGUCUUUGGAAACUUAUUUUAUAUUUUUCUAGGGUAGGAAAUUUUGUAUUUUAUUUUUUACUAAUAAUAUUUUAAAAAGUUACUCCAGAGUUAACAGAAAAUCAUAUUUAAUUUAGUUCUUAUAAAUUGAUAAGUUUUACAUCGAUGUUGUAUUUUUUUUGAUAAAAGAGUAGAAGAUUUUAUUUUUGAGACUGUUCUUCUUUUAUUUAAAAAAACGUGAUAUUAGUUUAACUCAUCGUGAGAUAGAGCUGUUUAUCUUGUUAUAUAAUUUUUUUUAAUAUAAAUAGUACGAAAGGAAUUUUAUAAAAGUUUUAAACUUUUGAAAUUUUUGUUUUA
rnacentral:rRNA from 1 species